GAUGAACGCUGGCGGCGUGCCUAAUACAUGCAAGUCGAGCGAACGGACGAGAAGCUUGCUUCUCUGAUGUUAGCGGCGGACGGGUGAGGAACACGUGGAUAACCUACCUAUAAGACUGGGAUAACUUCGGGAAACCGGAUCUACUACCGGAUGAUAUUUUGAACCUCAUGGUUCAAAAGUUAAAUACGCUCUUGCUGUCACUUAUAGAUGGAUCCGCGCUGCAUUCGCUAGUUGGUAAGGUAACGGCUUAGCAAGGCAACGAUGGAGAAACGACCUGAGGGCGUGGUCGGACACCCUGGCACUGAGAAACGGCACAGACUCCUAGGGGAGGACGCGGCACGGAAUCUUCCGCGAGGGAGGAAUGCCUAACGGAGGACCGCCGCGUGAGGGAUGAACGUCUUCGGACCGUAGAACUCUGUUAUUAGGGAAGAACAAAUGUGUAAUUACCUGUGAACAUCUUGACGGUACCGAAAGAGAAAGCCACGGCUAACUCCGUG
rnacentral:rRNA from 1 species